GUGCUUGCUUCGGCAGCACACAUACUAAAAUCGGAACAAUACACAGAAGAUUAGCAGGGCCCCUGGGCAAGGAUGACACGCAAAUUUGUGAAGCAUUCCAGAUUUUU
ensembl:snRNA U6 U6 spliceosomal RNA